AUUGAACGCUGGCGGCAGGCCUAAUACAUGCAAGUCGAACGGGUGGAGGACUGGUGAGUAGUGUAUGGGAACGUGGCUGAUGUAGGCAGAUAACUACUGGAAACGGUGGAUACAGCCGCAUAAGAUGCUUUCGGCUCUUGUGGAAUUAGCUAGUAGGUGGGGUAAAGGCUCACAUUGGCGACGAUCCCUAGCUGGUCUGAGAGGAUGACCAGCCACACUGGAACUGAGACACGGUCCAGACUCCUACGGGAGGCAGCAGUGGGGAAUAUUGCACAAUGGGCGCAAGCCUGAUGCAGCCAUGCCGCGUGUAUGAAGAAGGCCUUCGGGUUGUAAAGUACUUUCAGCGGGGAGGCGUUACCCGCAGAAGAAGCACCGGCUAACUCCGUGCCAGCAGCCGCGGUAAUUC
rnacentral:rRNA from 1 species